AUUGUAAGUCGCUUUAGGGAAAAGUGUUCGCUAAAAGAAUAAAUGUAAAUUUGUGUCGCUCCGGUUCUCUACGCUGGGCUGAUGUCUCACUUGAAGGGUGCAGCCUCCCUUCUUGUCCGGAGCAGAAAUGUACUGUUCCAGUACUCUACCCCUCCUGGCCCCCCAUGCCCUGGACAAACCUCCCGACACUGCACACAGAGUCCUUCGGCACGCCCCCUAACCCCACCUGUCCAAUCAGAAAUGUGCAAUCUGUCAUGCCCCGCCCCUUUCUCUGCCAGCCAAUGGGAAACAGCUGAAGGACACGCCUUACAGCCGAACUCAUCCCUGCUCUGUGGGUGUGGGUGUGUGGGGGUGUGGGUGUGAGGCAGCACACAAAAGUAUGUGUUUGCAUGAGGAUGCAUAUUUAGAAAGUUUGCCAGGGCAGGUGACACAGGAAUUCAAGGAUAGCUGUACUGGGAUUUGUCUUUGUUCUGACACUGGUAACGAGGCAUCUCCCAUUUGGAGGGGUUGGGGAGGAAGGCAAAGCUCUUCCAAAUGCUGCUCGUGGGACUCGAGCGCACACGUGUUAGUUAUCGCCGGCCCCCUGGUUGCGCCGAUCCAGAGGCGAAUGCGCCCCGCUGGUGAAGGUCCCCUCGGCUACAGCCCAGACGGCUCCGUUCGGCGUGCUCCUGUAGCCCAGCGCAGCGAGCGUGAAGACGAGGGCCGCCGUCUGGCAGGCCUUAAGUCGGACGCUUCCUUUCCGUUUUUCCCCGAUAUUUUUGUCCGGUUGAAAUCUGAAGGCGAGAACCCGUAUGAAUGGAGACUCGGAAUGCGGGUAUCCGUGACCAUCGCCGUGAAAGUUAUGCGGUGCUGGCAAAUGCCGCGUGAUAUUGCAGUUCCGUACGCGCUCCGGGUGAUUCCUGUUGGCUGGCGGCCUCCCGGGCCGAGACGUUUCGCCCGGUCGGCUUCAGGUGAGCGGCGGACCGCACCUGGAGACCGAGAGGCUUGUUCUGGACAAACGGGUUUUCCGGAAGAUUCUACCAAUCAUGUUCUUCUGCGUAGCGAGAAGUAAACAAACCCGAUUGCUAGAGAUUGUGUUCAUGUGGAAAUGGGGGGGGGGGCAAGAUGAGAAGGGAGCGCGGCGCGUGUUUAGUUUCUAGUUCCCGAAUCGCUACUCGGCUCUCGAACAACCUUUGCUCCGAGUUUCAGGGAGAGAAACGUGACGAUAAGCAAUGAGAUCCACCUUAGUCAGUCAGCGUAAUUGGGGUGAGGCUCAAUUUGAAUGACUCGCACCAGUGGAAUGCUUUUAAUCCUCGCGAAUAGCUAUCUAUGUCUGACGCGCGCCGAGGACGAAACGUCCGUGAAACGGCACUGGGGAGUUGUCGCAUACCACAGAAAUGCUGCGUCCCAGUAAAUUUUCCAUGCAAGGAUGCCUACAGCAAGAGUAACCGCAGUCUCCACCCCCCCACCCCCCCAUGUGGAAUGGACAAAUGCAAAAGUACAGAUUUCCUCGUCUUCCUCCCAUACUGCACAGCUCAUACACAGUACCUGGUUGUGGAAAAAAUGAAUGUGUGGAUGAAUAAGCCCAGCAGUGCAGAGAUUUCCCUCCAGUUUACGUCUCUGCAUUUUUUAACUUUUAUCAAUAAUACACACAACCAAAGCAACCAUUAAAAUCCACAAUCGCAGGUGCUUUCCUAAAGCAACGCAGAGCUCGGAGUAAACGGAGGUGCUUCGGCAACAGGCGUACAUACCGUGGGUUUACGUACGUCCGCCCGCGGUUGCCGAAGCUUGUUUAACGAAGGCCACUAUUGUCGUAGCGGGGAGUGAAGGAUUGACUUAUGGAGGUGUCCGGUGCUUGGAAGGGAAGCGGGUCUGGAAGAGGCGACUUUUGACACCCUUCCUAAAUGCUGGGAGGGAAUGUGCAUUUCUGAGGGAUAGGGGGAGUUAAUUCAACCAAGACUGAGAAAUGGUUGGGUGCAUUGUUGUUAACUUUUAUGUCGCUGAUAAUCUUUGUCCACAGCUACUUUCAGAAUGGGCUGUUUUAGGAAAUUGAAGCUUUUGAGAGCAUAUGGGCGCGAUCGCACGAGAGAAGCGUGUUACUGUGGUUAUCCCAAGAUCGACCGUCUAGGUCGAGCUAAACGUUCAGAAGAUCAAUCGCUCAAACUGCAUUUAAAAAAAAAAAAAAAACAAAA